rnacentral:rRNA from 1 species
AUUGAACGCUGGCGGCAGGCCUAACACAUGCAAGUCGAGCGAGCGGCGGACGGGUGAGUAAUGUCUGGGAAACUGCCCGAUGGAGGGGGAUAACUACUGGAAAAGGUAGCUAAUAACCCAUACUAUCAGCUGUGCCAAGGUGGGAUGAGCUAGUGGGUGGGGUAACGGCUCACAUAGGCGACGAUCCCUAGCUGGCCUGAGAGGAUGACCAGCCACACUGGAACUGAGACACGGUCCAGACUCCUACGGGAGGCAGCAGUGGGGAAUAUUCCACAAUGGGCGAAAGCCUGAUGCAGCCAUGCCGCGUGUGUGAAGAAGGUCUUCGGGUUGUAAAGCACUUUCAGCAGGGAGGCGUUACCCGCAGAAGAAGCACCGGCUAACUCCGUGCCAGCAGCCGCGGUAAUAC